rnacentral:lncRNA from 10 species
UCCUUUAGCAAGGAGGUUGAAGGCGGUGAGAACUGAGCUCCGGAUUUUCAAUAAGCUGACAGAGCUGCAGAUUAGCCUCGAAGGCUAUGAGAAGGCUUUGGAAUUUGCCACCCUGGCCGCCAGGCUCAGCACAGUCACAGGAGAUCAGAGGCAAGAGCUGGUGGCCUUUCACCGCCUGGCUACAGUGUACUACUCCCUGCACAUGUAUGAGAUGGCUGAGGACUGCUACCUGAAGACCCUGUCCCUCUGUCCACCAUGGCUGCAGAGUCCCAAGGAGGCCCUGUACUAUGCCAAGGUGUAUUAUCGCCUGGGCAGACUCACCUUCUGCCAGCUGAAGUUUCUCCUCUGUUGCCCAGGCUGGAGUUCAGUGGUACAGUCAGGGCUUCCUGCGACCUCAGACUCCGGGGCUCAAGUGAUCCUCCAGUGUCAACCUCCUGAGUAGCUGGAACUACAGCAAACUGAAAAUAUGGUCCACUAACCAGCAGCAUCAGCAUCACCUGUGAGAUUGUUUGAAAUGAAAAUCUGUGGCCCCACCUAUGAUCUCUGAAUCAGAAUCUCUGGAUCCCAGAACGCUGACUCGUCCAAGCUUUCCUGGUGAUUUUAAUGCACCCUAAAGUAUGGGAAGCACCACUGCAGGGCAAGAGCCCUCAGAUAGUGUGCAUAACUAUUACCUGGUGAGGUUGUGGAACAUGAACUUCUUGGUUUCUAUCUC